AAAAAAUUAGGGUUAGGAUUUUAGGAUAUAAGAGACCUCUAUUAGAUAUUAAAAUAGAGGGAAACUGAAGCGCGAACGGUACUACCAAUUGUCAUUCGACGCGUAGACAUAUUAGGGAAAUGAAUCACUAGACUCUGUGUGCCUUAUCAACAUCGGUUUCGUGCGAAGAAUACCGGCUGACUCCUUUUUACAGUUCGUUUGAUUAUCUUCCGAUCGUGAAUCUAUUAUCGUUGGAAUACAAUGCCAGUGUACUAGACACACCGCGUUAACGGACAAUGUCGGAAUACGUUUUCUUGGAUGAUGUUCAUAGAAAAAUUUGCGCGAGCCAAUCAUUUCAACGAAGUGAGCCUACAUCGCGUCGGUUUUUUAGACUGUGGCGUUCCUUGACAUUUUAUCACGUAACUAAGGUUGAUUGGAAGAGUCGAUUCCAUAUCUAUUUAUAAAAACAUAAGUAUAAUAUCAUUGAUGACGCUAUAAUUAUUCUUAGCUAGAAUUAAAUAUUAAUUAAGCAACAGCUAUGUUAAAUUUUGAAAUUAGAGGCAUAAUGUUUGCUUUAAUUUAAAAUCACGUUUAAUUUUGUUUUAAAUUGAUAUGUGUGUGUAUUGUAGUGUGUGAACAGUACUGCCCUCCAGAGCUUAAUUCUAUUAACUAACAUUUCGAACAGUCGAAGAAAAUGAGUUCAUUGGAUAAAAGAUUUAUUUUUUCAACGAAUCGAUACAAGGAAAGGAACGAUUAAACAGAAUUAAUUUUACAAGAUUCUUUGGUUUAAUUUCAAUAUCAAGUGCAUUCAAAUAUAGUGGAGAUCUAUUGGAACACCUGAAGUUGUUUCCAAGAUCGUUGUUCCAUGCUUUGGAGUCGCGGAAUAAUCCGCUACUGUUCGAGUCCCGUUGUUACCAGACUAUCGGAACCUCACUCUCCAUUGUCUUGGAUAAGGCUUCUAAAAAAAUUCGCAUUGACGUCUUCAUCGAAACUACCUUGAACUUCACUAACUUAAAUCUUUACAUACUAUCACAUUAAUAGAACGGUGUGUCCUGCACAAAAUUCAAUUUCCUUAUUAAUCAUAAUUUUCAUGAAUACCGUUUUCACGUAAGAGAAUUUUAUAUACGCAUUGAUAAUCUUGCCUUGAGGCGUCAUCAUCAUCAUCGGAGAGAAUAAAGUAGAAGAAACGGAAUUGACUUGUCAUUUCUUGUGUAAUAAAUCACGAGCUCUAGGAUGCUCAUUUUGGCGGAAUCUCCUGGUAGCGGACCACCGUCGCUUCAUUUUUAUCACAAUCUGUUUGAGCUAUAUAAAUAUUUAUAAUCCAUAGACGUAAAUAUAUUACUUGCUUCCUAGCAUUAACAAGCAUACAUUUAUAUUUUGUAGCUAUGUAGAAGCAAGUGAACAAAAUAUGGUUUUUUUCGGUUUACUUAUGCUUUUUUAAAUUUGUUUAUUGUUUUUCUUCCAUUUAUUGUUGCAUUUCUUCCAUAUACAUUAACCUGUUUAGAUAUAUAUGAUAGUAUAUCAUGGAUAUUUGGAAUUGUGAAGAUUUUUUUCAUUAUAAUAUUCAAUCAUCGGAUUAAAGAAGGAUUAAGGAUAUUCCAUUACAAAAUUCUUUCUUAUGGAUUUGUAUCAUUUUUUUUCAAUGAAGAAUUUAAUCUAAAAAGAUGGAAGAUUUUAAUAAUUGGAGAAGGAUAAUAUUAAAUAAAAGUAAAAAAAAAUAUAUAUAUAAUUUUAAUGAAAUUGUAUAAAUAUUGAAUAGAGAUUUAAUUAUUUAAAAAUUAUAAACAA